rnacentral:rRNA from 1 species
AUUGAACGCUGGCGGAAUGCUUUACACAUGCAAGUCGAACGGCAGCACGGACUUCGGUCUGGUGGCGAGUGGCGAACGGGUGAGUAACAUAUCGGAACGUAUCCAAUAAUGGGGGAUAACUAAUCGAAAGGUUGGCUAAUACCGCAUACGCCCUACGGGGGAAAGCUAGGGAUCUUCGGACCUGGCGUUAAUGGAGCGGCCGAUAUCUGAUUAGCUAGUUGGUGGGGUAAAGGCCCACCAAGGCGACGAUCAGUAGCUGGUCUGAGAGGACGACCAGCCACACUGGAACUGAGACACGGUCCAGACUCCUACGGGAGGCAGCAGUGGGGAAUUUUGGACAAUGGGCGCAAGCCUGAUCCAGCCAUUCCGCGUGAGUGAAGAAGGCCUUCGGGUUGUAAAGCUCUUUCGCAAGGGAAGAAAACUUAUCCUCUAACAUAGGAUGAGGUUGACGGUACCUUGAUAAGAAGCACCGGCUAACUACGUGCCAGCAGCCGCGGUAAUACGUAGGGUGCGAGCGUUAAUCGGAAUUACUGGGCGUAAAGCGUGCGCAGGCUGUUUUGUAAGUCAGAUGUGAAAUCCCUGAGCUCAACUUAGGAACUGCGUUUGAAACUACAAGACUAGAAUAUGUCAGAGGGGGGUAGAAUUCCACGUGUAGCAGUGAGAUGCGUAGAGAUGUGGAGGAAUACCAAUGGCGAAGGCAGCCCCCUGGGAUAAUAUUGACGCUCAUGCACGAAAGCGUGGGGAGCAAACAGGAUUAGAUACCCUGGUAGUCCACGCCCUAAACGAUGUCUACUAGUUGUUGGUGGAGUAAAAUCCAUGAGUAACGCAGCU